CGCGUGUAUUAUCGCCUACGUUCAUUUUCGUUCGCAUUGUUUAACACUACAGGAAACUAAAUAAACCGUUCAUUGAGAUGUAACAGUCUCACUGCCAGAGAGAGUUUCUUUCACCUAGAAAAAUUAAACAGUUAAAUGGAAACAAGUUAAUAGUGAGCAGAACCGGAUCAAUGUAAAUCAAUAAAAUCGAUGAGGAAACAUAAAAACAAUCUACAUAUAGCUUAUUUCCUAACCUAAAUUUUUAUGUUUCUGUUUCUUUCCAAAAAUUAUAAUUCAAUACAAUUCAACAUUAUCACAAUUAAGAUAUUCAAAUAUUUAUUAAAAGAAAUUUUUGCAUUUGUAAAUCAUGUACGAAUUAUAAGAAUUCAUCUAUGUGUAUUACUGACGUAUAGGGGCCACAUAUAAGGUGUGUCGCUAUAAAACGUAUGUGGAGCGUGCGAGGGCUAGGCAUGGCGCACCCAUAAUAAAUAGAAUAUAAUAAAUUAAUCGAAUUACACAAUUUUAAUCCUUAUGAAUUACUUUGACUUUAAAAGGUCAAUGUUUAAAUAAUUUUUUAAACUCUUAUUGUGAAUAUAGGACUGAAUCAAGGCAGGACUCGCCGACAAGAUCAAUAAGCAACGUACCGACCCUUCUUCGCAAGGUUUUUAAUGCUUUCUUAUAAAUGCCCUUUCACGAAGCCUUUAUAUAUGUACAUUGGACCUAUCCCUACAAAAAUCCAGAUGUCUACUAUAAAGCCAAAAUGAUCUAUACACAACAUACGUAAUCUUC